GGUGGAGCGAUUUGUCUGGUUAACUCCGAUAACGAACGAGACUCUAGCCUAUUAAAUAGACGAUAUAUUAUUAGUUUAUCGAGCUUCUUAGAGGGACAGGCAGCUUCUAGCUGCACGUGAUUGAGCAAUAACAGGUCUGUGAUGCCCUUAGAUGUCCGGGGCUGCACGCGCGCUACAAUGAAAAUAGCAACGUGCAUUAAAACCUUUUCUGGUAAGAAUUGGUAAACACGAAAUAUUUUCGUGCUUGGGAUAGGGGAUUGGAAUUAUUGCCCUUAAACGAGGAAUUCCCAGUAAGUGCAAGUCAUCAGCUUGCGUUGAAUACGUCCCUGCCCUUUUAGUCUAGCGGCGGUCGUGACGACGGCG
rnacentral:rRNA from 1 species